rnacentral:rRNA from 1 species
AGUGAACGCUGGCGGUAGGCCUAACACAUGCAAGUCGAACGGCAGCACAGUAAGAGCUUGCUCUUACGGGUGGCGGGUGGCGGACGGGUGAGGAAUACAUCGGAAUCUACUUUUUCGUGGGGGAUAACGUAGGGAAACUUACGCUAAUACCGCAUACGACCUACGGGUGAAAGCAGGGGAUCUUCGGACCUUGCGCGAUUGAAUGAGCCGAUGUCGGAUUAGCUAGUUGGCGGGGUAAAGGCCCACCAAGGCGACGAUCCGUAGCUGGUCUGAGAGGAUGAUCAGCCACACUGGAACUGAGACACGGUCCAGACUCCUACGGGAGGCAGCAGUGGGGAAUAUUGGACAAUGGGCGCAAGCCUGAUCCAGCCACACCGCGUGGGUGAAGAAGGCCUUCGGGUUGUAAAGCCCUUUUGUUGGGAAAGAAAAGCAGCAGGUUAAUACCCCGCUGUUCUGACGGUACCCAAAGAAUAAGCACCGGCUAACUUCGUG